rnacentral:rRNA from 1 species
GAUGAACGCUGGCGGCGUGCCUAAUACAUGCAAGUCGAGCGAACAGACGAGGAGCUUGCUCCUCUGACGUUAGCGGCGGACGGGUGAGUAACACGUGGAUAACCUACCUAUAAGACUGGGAUAACUUCGGGAAACCGGAGCUAAUACCGGAUAAUAUAUUGAACCGCAUGGUUCAAUAGUGAAAGACGGUUUUGCUGUCACUUAUAGAUGGCUCCGCGCCGCAUUAGCGAGUUGGUAAGGUAACGGCUUACCAAGGCAACGAUGCGUAGCCGACCUGAGAGGGUGAACGGCCACACUGGAACUGAGCCACGGUCCAGACUCCUACGGGAGGCAGCAGUAGGGAAUCUUCCGCGAUGGGCGAAAGCCUGACGGAGCAACGCCGCGUGAGUGAUGAAGGUCUUCGGAUCGUAAAACUCUGUUAUUAGGGAAGAACAAAUGUGUAAGUAACUAUGCACGUCUUGACGGUACCUAAACAGAAAGCCACGGCUAACUACGUG